ACUCCUACGGGAGGCAGCAGUGGGGAAUAUUGCACAAUGGGGGAAACCCUGAUGCAGCCAUGCCGCGUGUGUGAAGAAGGCCUUGGGUUGUAAAGCACUUUCAGUAGGGAGGAAGGUAGUGUAGUUAACACCUGCAUUAUUUGACGUUACCUACAGAAGAAGCACCGGCUAACUCCGUGCCAGCAGCCGCGGUAAUACGGAGGGUGCGAGCGUUAAUCGGAAUUACUGGGCGUAAAGCGCAUGCAGGCGGCCUGUUAAGUCAGAUGUGAAAGCCCGGGGUCUUAACCUCGGAAUUGCAUUUGAAACUGGCAGGCUAGAGUCUUGUAGAGGGGUUAGAAUUUCAGGUGUAGCGGUGAAAUGCGUAGAGAUCUGAAGGAAUACCAGUGGCGAAGGCGGCCCCUGGACAAAGACUGACGCUCAGAUGCGAAAGCGUGGGAGCAAACAGGAUUAGAUACCCCGUGGUAGACUGUC
rnacentral:rRNA from 1 species